GACUGCAUCCUCUACCGCGGUGCGUACAAGGAUCUGAACGCAUGCCCGGUAUGCGGUGCAUUGCGGUAUAAGAUCAGACGAGAUGACCCUGGUGAUGUUGACGACGAGCCCCCCAGGAAGAGGGUUCCUGCGAAGGUGAUGUGGUAUGCUCCUAUAAUACCACGGUUGAAACGUCUGUUCAGAAACGAAGAGCAUGCCAAGUUGAUGCGAUGGCACAGUGAGGACCGUAAGAAAGACGGGAAGUUGAGAGCACCCGCUGACGGGUCGCAUUGGAGAAAAAUCGAGAGAAAGUACUGGGCUGAGUUUGCAGCUGACCCAAGGAAC
rnacentral:rRNA from 1 species